rnacentral:rRNA from 1 species
GGCCGCGGGAAUUCGAUUCAGGCCUAACACAUGCAAGUCGAGCGGGGUUUUCGGACCUAGCGGUGGACGGGUGAGUAAUGCGUAGGAAGAUACCCGACAGAGGGGGAUACCAGUUGGAAACGACUGUUAAUACCGCAUAAUGUCUACGGACCAAAGUGUGGGACCUUCGGGCCACAUGCUGUCGGAUGCGCCUACGUGGGAUUAGCUAGUUGGUGGGGUAAUGGCUCACCAAGGCGACGAUCCCUAGCUGGUUUGAGAGGAUGAUCAGCCACACUGGAACUGAGACACGGUCCAGACUCCUACGGGAGGCAGCAGUGGGGAAUAUUGGACAAUGGGCGCAAGCCUGAUCCAUCCAAGGCGCGUGUGUGAAGAAGGCCUUCGGGUUGUAAAGUAUAGGGGGCGAGGAGGAAGGGGUUGUAGUUAAUAGCUGCAACC